CAUGCAGUCGAGCGGCAGCGGGGGGAAGCUUGCUUCCCCGCCGGCGAGCGGCGGACGGGUGAGUAAUGUCUGGGAAACUGCCUGAUGGAGGGGGAUAACUACUGGAAACGGUAGCUAAUACCGCAUAACGUCGCAAGACCAAAGAGGGGGACCUUCGGGCCUCUUGCCAUCGGAUGUGCCCAGAUGGGAUUAGCUAGUAGGUGAGGUAAAGGCUCACCUAGGCGACGAUCCCUAGCUGGUCUGAGAGGAUGACCAGCCACACUGGAACUGAGACACGGUCCAGACUCCUACGGGAGGCAGCAGUGGGGAAUAUUGCACAAUGGGCGCAAGCCUGAUGCAGCCAUGCCGCGUGUGUGAAGAAGGCCUUCGGGUUGUAAAGCACUUUCAGCGGGGAGGAAGGGAGCAGGCUUAAUACGUCUGUUCAUUGACGUUACCCGCAGAAGAAGCACCGGCUAACUCCGUGCCAGCAGCCGCGGUAAUACGGAGGGUGCAAGCGUUAAUCGGAAUGACUGGGCGUAAAGCGCACGCAGGCGGUCUGUUAAGUUGGAUGUGAAAUCCCCGGGCUUAACCUGGGAACUGCAUUCAAAACUGACAGGCUAGAGUCUCGUAGAGGGGGGUAGAAUUCCAGGUGUAGCGGUGAAAUGCGUAGAGAUCUGGAGGAAUACCGGUGGCGAAGGCGGCCCCCUGGACGAAGACUGACGCUCAGGUGCGAAAGCGUGGGGAGCAAACAGGAUUAGAUACCCUGGUAGUCCACGCUGUAAACGAUGUCGAUUUGGAAGGUUGUGGUCUUGAACCGUGGCUUCCGGAGCUAACGCGUUAAAUCGACCGCCUGGGGAGUACGGCCGCAAGGUUAAAACUCAAAUGAAUUGACGGGGGCCCGCACAAGCGGUGGAGCAUGUGGUUUAAUUCGAUGCAACGCGAAGAACCUUACCUACUCUUGACAUCCAGAGAAGACUGCAGAGAUGCGGUUGUGCCUUCGGGAGCUCUGAGACAGGUGCUGCAUGGCUGUCGUCAGCUCGUGUUGUGAAAUGUUUGGGUUAAGUCCCGCAACGAGCGCAACCCUUAUCCUUUGUUGCCAGCACGUAAUGGUGGGAACUCAAGGGAGACUGCCGGUGAUAAACCGGAGGAAGGUGGGGAUGACGUCAAGUCAUCAUGGCCCUUACGAGUAGGGCUACACACGUGCUACAAUGGCGUAUACAAAGAGAAGCGACCUCGCGAGAGCAAGCGGACCUCAUAAAGUACGUCGUAGUCCGGAUUGGAGUCUGCAACUCGACUCCAUGAAGUCGGAAUCGCUAGUAAUCGUAGAUCAGAAUGCUACGGUGAAUACGUUCCCGGGCCUUGUACACACCGCCCGUCACACCAUGGGAGUGGGUUGCAAAAGAAGUAGGUAGCUUAACCUUCGGGAGGGCGCU
rnacentral:rRNA from 1 species